rnacentral:lncRNA from 1 species
ACAUAUAAGCCCAAUACGAACCUUUCGUAUAAUUAAUUAACUAAUUAAUUAAUCUUAACCAUUCUUCAAUUAAACCAUUUAAUUGCUUAUCCAUUUCAUAUAAUUUCUUCACUAACAUCCUUAUGUGGUGUGCGAUCCAUUAGGUUCCAAUUAACGAGGCAGUGGGCGAUGUUACUCUUAACGAUCGAUUGUGAAUUGAAACCACAUUUCAAUUCUCCCUUAAGAUUAG